rnacentral:rRNA from 1 species
UUGACCUCAAAUCGGGUGAGACUACCCGCUGAACUUAGCA